rnacentral:rRNA from 1 species
GUGGGGAAUAUUGGACAAUGGGCGCAAGCCUGAUCCAGCCAUGCCGCGUGAGUGAUGAAGGCCUUAGGGUUGUAAAGCUCUUUCAGUAGGGAAGAUAAUGACGGUACCUACAGAAGAAGCCCCGGCUAACUUCGUGCCAGCAGCCGCGGUAAUACGAAGGGGGCUAGCGUUGUUCGGAUUUACUGGGCGUAAAGCGCACGUAGGCGGAUUGGUCAGUUAGAGGUGAAAUCCCGAAGCUCAACUUCGGAACUGCCUUUAAUACUGCCAGUCUCGAGUCCGGAAGAGGUGAGUGGAACUCCUAGUGUAGAGGUGGAAUUCGUAGAUAUUCGGAGGAACACCAGUGGCGAAGGCGGCUCACUGGCUCGAUACUGACGCUGAGGUGCGAAAGCGUGGGGAGCAAACAGGAUUAGAAACCCCGGUAGUCC